UGGGGAAUCUUGCGCAAUGGCCGAAAGGCUGACGCAGCGACGCCGCGUGUGGGAGGACGCCUUUCGGGGUGUAAACCACUGUUGCCCGGGACGAACACUGAGUUUCGACUCAGCUGACGGUACCGGGUGAGGAAGCACCGGCUAACUCCGUGCCAGCAGCCGCGGUAAUACGGAGGGUGCGAGCGUUGUCCGGAAUCAUUGGGCGUAAAGGGCGCGUAGGUGGCCGUGGUCAGCGUGCGGUGAAAGCUCGGGGCUCAACCCCGAGUCGGCCGUGCGAACUGCCGGGCUUGAGCACUGUAGAGACAGGCGGAAUUCCGGGUGUAGCGGUGGAAUGCGUAGAGAUCCGGAAGAACACCGGUGGCGAAGGCGGCCUGCUGGGCAGUGGCUGACACUGAGGCGCGACAGCGUGGGGAGCAAAC
rnacentral:rRNA from 1 species